UUUUCUGAUCAUAUCUCAAUCAGAGUUCCGAGAUUGUGAAAAUUAACGAUUGAAUACAGAUGGAAACACUCCUGGAAUAGACCAGUAAAAAUAAAAAUACGAGGGAACACUGGUGCGACAGAGACAAGUUAUUAAGUUCCUCUUCUCCAUCGCGAUUAUGUCGACAAUACAAGCCAGAAGUAGUGCGGCGACGCUAUUAAAUGCCGAGGGUUUAAUUACGCACCCCGGUCUUACACCAAGGCUUGCACGAAGAAAUUAAUUAAAGUGAAUCUUGAGUCGUUACACAGUAUUUACGUCAAGCCGCAGCUAGGAUUGCUUGUAUCCACAUCUACACAGAGAAAAUGGAUCAUCUUAUAGGACACGCGGUUUCUUCAACGUUAAAGAUAAGUACUUUCUCAACUUGCCGUCGCGUCAAAGUACACGUUUACAGAGCCUCUCCUCGUUAAGCUUUUGGGAUAAGUUCUGCUGCGAGCGAGAGAAACGCUCAGGUUCGACCGAGAUUCUGAUAUUCCUUGAUGAAGGUCAAAUUUGGCAGUUAAUCUCGGAACGAAGCUCGAGGAUUUAUUUAAUACGUGCCGCGCACGAUAUCUUACUUUGAUCGGAAUUAAAAUAUACGAGUUUUGUUAUCUGCGCGUCUGUUUGAUCGCAAAAAUGUAUAAACAUGGAUGGUUCUCCUUAGACUUCUCAAAAUCAGUAAACAUCUUAUUCAAGUUUAAUUGUAC